rnacentral:rRNA from 1 species
GGUUAAUAUUCCUGUACUUCUGGUUACUGCGAUGGAGGGACGGAGAAGGCUAGGCCAGCUUGGCGUUGGUUGUCCAAGUUUAAGGUGGUAGGCUGAAAUCUUAGGUAAAUCCGGGGUUUCAAGGCCGAGAGCUGAUGACGAGUCGUCUUUUAGAUGACGAAGUGGUUGAUGCCAUGCUUCCAAGAAAAGCUUCUAAGCUUCAGGUAACCAGGAACCGUACCCCAAACCGACACAGGUGGUCGGGUAGAGAAUACCAAGGCGCUUGAGAGAACUCGGGUGAAGGAACUAGGCAAAAUGGCACCGUAACUUCGGGAGAAGGUGCGCCGGCUAGGGUGAAGGAUUUACUCCGUAAGCUCUGGCUGGUCGAAGAUACCAGGCCGCUGCGACUGUUUAUUAAAAACACAGCACUCUGCAAACACGAAAGUGGACGUAUAGGGUGUGACGCCUCCCCGGUGCCGGAAGGUUAAUUGAUGGGGUUAGCGCAAGCGAAGCUCUUGAUCGAAGCCCCGGUAAACGGCGGCCGUAACAAUAACGGUCCUAAGGUAGCGAAAUUCCUUGUCGGGUAAGUUCCGACCUGCACGAAUGGCGUAACGAUGGCGGCGCUGUCUCCACCCGAGACUCAGUGAAAUUGAAAUCGCUGUGAAGAUGCAGUGUAUCCGCGGCUAGACGGAAAGACCCCGUGAACCUUUACUGUAGCUUUGCACUGGACUUUGAGCCUGCUUGUGUAGGAUAGGUGGGAGGCUUUGAAGCGUGGACGCCAGUUCGCGUGGAGCCAUCCUUGAAAUACCACCCUGGCAUGCUUGAGGUUCUAACUCUGGUCCGUAAUCCGGAUCGAGGACAGUGUAUGGUGGGCAGUUUGACUGGGGCGGUCUCCUCCUAAAGAGUAACGGAGGAGUACGAAGGUGCGCUCAGACCGGUCGGAAAUCGGUCGCAGAGUAUAAAGGCAAAAGCGCGCUUGACUGCGAGACAGACACGUCGAGCAGGUACGAAAGUAGGUCUUAGUGAUCCGGUGGUUCUGUAUGGAAGGGCCAUCGCUCAACGGAUAAAAGGUACUCCGGGGAUAACAGGCUGAUACCGCCCAAGAGUUCAUAUCGACGGCGGUGUUUGGCACCUCGAUGUCGGCUCAUCACAUCCUGGGGCUGAAGCCGGUCCCAAGGGUAUGGCUGUUCGCCAUUUAAAGUGGUACGCGAGCUGGGUUUAGAACGUCGUGAGACAGUUCGGUCCCUAUCUGCCUGGACGUUUGAGAUUUGAGAGGGGCUGCUCCUAGUACGAGAGGACCGGAGUGGACGAACCUCUGGUGUUCCGGUUGUCACGCCAGUGGCAUUGCCGGGUAGCUAUGUUCGGAAAAGAUAACCGCUGAAAGCAUCUAAGCGGGAAACUUGCCUCAAGAUGAGAUCUCACUGGGAACUUGAUUCCCCUGAAGGGCCGUCGAAGACUACGACGUUGAUAGGCUGGGUGUGUAAGCGUUGUGAGGCGUUGAGCUAACCAGUACUAAUUGCCCGUGAGGCUUGAC